rnacentral:rRNA from 1 species
AUUGAACGCUGGCGGCAGGCUUAACACAUGCAAGUAGAGCGAGCGGCGGACGGGUGAGUAAUGUCUGGGAAACUGCCUGAUGGAGGGGGAUAACUACAGGAAACGGUAGCUAAUACCGCAUAUCUUCAGAUGUGCCUAGAUGGGAUUAGCUAGUAGGUGGGGUAAUGGCUCAACUAGGCUACGAUCCCUAGCUGGUCUGAGAGGAUGACAAUACACACUGGAACUGAGACACGGUCCAGACUCCUACGGGAGGCAGCAGUGGGGAAUAUUGCACAAUGGGCGCAAGCCUGAUGCAGCCAUGCCGCGUGUGUAAAGAAGGCCUUCGGGUUGUAAAGCACUUUAAGCGAGGAGGCGUUACUCGCAGAAGAAGCACCGGCUAACUCCGUGCCAGCAGCCGCGGUAAUUC